rnacentral:rRNA from 1 species
AACGAACGCUGGCGGCAGGCCUAACACAUGCAAGUCGAGCGAGGACUUCGGUCCUAGCGGCGGACGGGUGAGUAACGCGUGGGAACGUGCCCUUUGCUUCGGAAUAGCCCUGGGAAACUGGGAGUAAUACCGGAUGAGCCCUUUGGGGGAAAGAUUUAUCGGCGAAGGAUCGGCCCGCGUUGGAUUAGGUAGUUGGUUGGGUAAUGGCCUACCAAGCCGACGAUCCAUAGCUGGUUUGAGAGGAUGAUCAGCCACACUGGGAAUGAGACACGGCCCAGACUCCUACGGGAGGGAGGAGUGGGGAAUCUUAGAAAAUGGGGGAAACCCUGAUAUAGCCAUGCCGCGUGAGCGAUGAAGGCCUUAGGGUUGUAAAGCUCUUUCAGCUGGGAAGAUAAUGACGGUACCAGCAGAAGAAGCCCCGGCUAACUCCGUG